rnacentral:rRNA from 2 species
UCUAGCAUGAAAUCAGACAAGUGA